AUGUGUGUUCCAAAAUCAUAGGGAGGCAUGGGGUUUCGUGACAUACACGGUUUCAAUAUGGCUAUGCUCGCCAAACAAUGCUGGAGACUCAUUGAUAAUUAUGACUCUCUAUGUGCUAAGGUCCUAAGAGCGAAAUAUUACCCUUUUGGAGACUUGUUGAAUUGUGAACUGAAAAAAGGCCGACACUAUGUUUGGCAGAGCAUUUGGGCAGGAAAACAAACUUUCAAGAAGGGGUGUGUAUGGAGAGUUGGCAAUGGUACGAAAAUAAAUAUAUGGAAUGAUUGUUGGGUUCCAAAUAGUAUUUCAAGGAAAAUUAUCACGACGCGGGGCAACUGUGUACUGUCAAAGGUGAAUGAACUUAUUAACCCGGUCACGGGGUGGGAUGAGGCACUAAUCAGAGAUAAUUUUUGGCACAUUGAUGUGGAAAGAAUUUUGCAAAUCCCAAUAUAUCAGUAUGACACAGAAGAUUUUGUCUCAUGGCACUUAACAAAAUCGGGUGUUUUUUCUGUCCGCUCGGCCUAUUACAAGCAGUGGGAGGAGACUUAUGUUUCGAAGGAUUCAAAUCCUAAUGGUAUAAGCGGAUCUGCUCAACACCCGGGCUGGAAGAAACUUUGGAGUUUAAAGAUACCAAGCAAAAUAAAAAUUUUCUUAUGAAGAUGUCUUCAUGAUGCCAUACCCUGUUGUUGUAUACUGGCAAACAGACAUAUUUCUAAGUCUGCUCAAUGUCCGCUAUGCUUAAUGCAGGCAGAAGAUAUUGCUCAUAUGGCCUUCAAAUGUAACAGGGCUCAGGAGAUAUAGAGAAAUAUGGGACUGCAUGACAUAAUAGCAAGAGUUGCAUAA
rnacentral:rRNA from 1 species